GACAGUACCGGUGCAGGCAGCCUGGCUCGCAUCACAGCAGGUAGAGGGAGAAAGCCUCUCCCUCUCUCGCCGUGCCACAGCCGACUGGGCAGACCCUGCGUGUCCACACAGGAAUUGCUGAUGACGUGGGUAGAGUCUGCCGAGUUGUUCACAUGUGCGCACAUCCUAGCGGACGUGAAUAAGUCUGCUUGGACAUACACAAAAUACCCCUGACAUAGGCAGCUUUUGCCUAGCCAUGCACACAGCUAAUCCGGACAGAGUCACAUUUAUACAUGAUGAUCCCAGAAUUCCAAACCCCCUCCAGCCAGCUCAGGGUCGGGGUGGGCCGAGCUGAGUUUUUGAGAAGAGUCUUUUGGGAGUGAUUUUCAGCAGACGAAGAACACUUCAAACAAGAUUCUGCCCUGACACCAAAUUGUUCAUUAAAAUUAAACCCACAAAGCUGCUUCCACAGAUCCAGAGGCAAUAGACAUUCUGAUCAAUGGAGAAUAGACCCAGAGCAGCCAACUCAGACUCUGAGAGAUGAAAACCAUCACAAAACUAGAAAUUAUGGGAGUUCGGGGUCUCCUGUCUCUAAUUCCAGCUCUCUUCUGUUACAGCAUUUAAGAAAUAUUACUCUAAGAAGGGUUUCAUGACCUUCACCAUCCUGCCAAAAGGGACCAUAAAAGAUUAAGGACUCCAGCACAGAUGAUUUUCAAGAUCUCUUCCAAUUUUAAGUUCUAAGAUCUGAAGGAAGUAUAGGAGUACGGCCACCCCCUUGCACCAUUGCUCUCUGAUACCAAGCCCCAUCCAGUAUGAAGAAGUUUUCUGUGGGAUGCUUUGAAGUAUGGCAAGACUCUAUGUAUCAAGAAGACAAAUGACCUCUAGCUCCAUGGCUUUACAACUGAAAUGUUUUUCAGCCUUACCCACACUUCCCAAAUAUAAACACAAUUUGAAAUUGGCCUUGAAGUGACGCAUUGUAAGUUGACUGCAAUAGCACCUGUGACAAAAGAGGGAUUGGAAGAAGGGCCCAAGGUGAAUGCCUCCUUGAACUUUCUGCUAUGUUAUUGGCAGGAAUCCUUGAAAUGGUAAAAUGAAAAGGUCAUUCAUCAUCCAUUUCUCACACCUGUAUGGAGUUUUUAUGUUCUAAAGUGCCUUCCUUUCCAUUAUUUUAUUUGAUCUUCCCAGUGGCCCGGGAGGGAAAUGCAUUCAAGAAUUAAAAGCUUCUGUCAGC
rnacentral:lncRNA from 1 species